CUCGACUGUCUAUUCACGUUACGCAGCAGUGUUCACACUCCUUCAGGCUUACGAAAUCCCUGAAAUUCGUGUUACUUUUACCGAGGCAGUUUCUGGCAAGCGAGCUGCAACAAAAUUGCUAGUUUACUUUCCUGCAUCAGGAUACUGAAACAUGAGUUGCAGCUCUUAAGUCGCAGUAGGUUGUCGCUUCCUCGGCGUUAGUGUCUCAGUGGGGCCCACUAUAUGCUGAAAUGAAAAGUAAUGGAAAUGGAUUCCGACUGUGAAGAUUUGCCAUUUGUUAUGGUGGGAGAUAAUGAUUUGCUCUUUCAGAGCACAUGAUGAAACCAUACACAGGAUAGCAAGAGAAAGACAUUUUCUUAGAAGAAAUAUAGAAAAUGUCACAGUUUACUCACCACCUGGCAGUUUUGAUGUGGAAGAUCCAGAAACAGGCAGGGUUUUGGAAGGCAGUUGGAGGAUGCCUCCACAAAAUAAAUGUCUUCACAGAAAGGGAGGCAACGCAGGAAGAACCUCAAAGAAUACAUGGGAUAAAUUUGCAGUCUACUUUGUAUAGGAUGUUGAUAAAGUGAAAUGGCAAGAGAAAUAUGAAUAAAUAAAUAUCGAGUGAAAAGACAAAUGUAAUUAAAAACUUCCGAACAAAACCCUUAUAGCUUUAGUUAUUAAGUAUGUAAAUCAUAAAUCUGUGAACUACUUUGUAUCAGAAGUUGACAAAAUUAUAUGACAAGAGAAAUA